rnacentral:sRNA from 1 species
CGUCAACGCAGGGAGGAUCAGCUUAUGGGACUUACACACUCGUUGAACGUCCUUAUGAUCAGUGCAGCGUUCGCAUUCGUGGCCGUAAUGCUUUUCGUGUGAUCCAGGGCCACUGACAGUCCAGCCGAAACGGGGACUUUAAUUUCCGGAAAAUCCAUUUUUGCAGCGAGGCAUGUCUGACGGCCGCUCA